rnacentral:hammerhead_ribozyme from 1 species
ACUCAGCUGACGUGUCCCAAAAUAGGACGAAACGCGCGUCCUGUAU